GAGGCCUAAAACGGUGUGAGGAACAGCAUAACUCUGUUACCACAGUGAGGUUGUGAAAGAGUUUUGUGUCAUAGUAACUGCAGCAACAAGACACUAGGCAUCAGCAAGGUCCCCUUCAGACAAAGAUUUUAAACAAACUUAGUGCAGCAGAUAAAAGACACAGCAGUGAAGCUUUAGUGCAGUUUCAAUAAGGAAGAUCUUCUUCAUCUACAGAUAUCCUGCAGAUUUUUAUUAGCUCAGAACUGGCAGAAACCAGUGGGAUCCAUGUAUGCCCAUGCAUGUCUGAAGAAGUCUGACCAGAAGUGGCCUUCAUGGAGGAGCUGCAGCCAAAUCUCCAACAUGGAAACAAGACCAAGCUCAGCAGGACAACAGCCCUAAACAUACAGUCAAAGAACUGUAUUCAGCAUAAAGAAGAACAAGAAGUACUGGAAGUGAAGUCGUGCAAAGAGCCCGGAUUUUUAACAUCUCAUAGUGUCCUGGGAUUACAUGAAGAGACAGAAGGGUGAGGGAAAACCCCACAUCCACAGAAGAUGUGUACUUAGCUCUCAGAUGUUUGAAACAACCCACCAAAUGAAUACAUAGAAACAGAACAAGUGUGGGCAAAGGGUGUUUUACACUUAACAGUCAUUUGAUUUAAAUGUCUCUUUUUAUUUACUACAUUUUUGUUGACUAAUGGAAAUAAAUAAUUAAUCCUUCCAUGAAAGCA